GUGGGGAAUAUUGGACAAUGGGGGGAACCCUGAUCCAGCCAUGCCGCGUGUGUGAAGAAGGCCUUUUGGUUGUAAAGCACUUUAAGUGGGGAGGAGGCUUACCUGGUUAAUACCUGGGCUAAGUGGACGUUACCCACAGAAUAAGCACCGGCUAACUCUGUGCCAGCAGCCGCGGUAAUACAGAGGGUGCAAGCGUUAAUCGGAUUUACUGGGCGUAAAGCGCGCGUAGGUGGCCAAUUAAGUCAAAUGUGAAAUCCCCGAGCUUAACUUGGGAAUUGCAUUCGAUACUGGUUGGCUAGAGUAUGGGAGAGGAUGGUAGAAUUCCAGGUGUAGCGGUGAAAUGCGUAGAGAUCUGGAGGAAUACCGAUGGCGAAGGCAGCCAUCUGGCCUAAUACUGACACUGAGGUGCGAAAGCAUGGGGAGCAAACAGGAUUAGAAACCCCUGUAGUCC
rnacentral:rRNA from 1 species